UCUCACAUGAGGUCCCGGCGAGAAGGACCUGCUUCCAUCAGAUUCACACUUGGGAGAGGGGCCCGGCCUCCAGGAGCGCCAGGCAGAAAGGGCACCCAUUAGGAAGAAGAACACAGAGGCCAUGGGAGUGAAAAGUUUGAUGCUGGAAAGCAACAGUAGCACAUUCUGCUACAGAGCGGAAUGAAAAACCCUGGGGAGCAAAUUCCUGAGCCAGAGAAUGGAGCGGAGGAACCAGCCAAGGAGGAUAAAGAGACCUGCGUGCUCUGAGGCUGCCCGACCCUGAGCUCCAGAACAGACCAUCGAGUUCAGGAGACAAGCAUGUCAGCCAUGACACAAGGCAGAUGAGAGGGACCCCCAGCGUCCACACGUGGAGGCAGCGGGGGCAGCCGAUCCAUACAAACAGGCUGACCAUCAGGGCUGGUCCCAGGCCACCAGGCUGGGUGCAAUGCAGAAAUGGAGAUCUGCCCCGGGGAAGGCA
rnacentral:lncRNA from 1 species